rnacentral:snoRNA from 1 species
AUUCUAUGAUGAGGACAUUCUAGGAUGUAGUCUUGAAAGCGCUCCCAUGCUUCUAGAACAGAUUCAUCAUUUUGUUGCUGAAAACUUGUAAUCUUGCCACGGAGAGC